rnacentral:misc_RNA from 1 species
AAGUCGUAACAAGGUUUCCGUAGGUGAACCUGCGGUUGGAUCAUUACAGAAAAUGUUUUUCACAAAACAUACACAUUGCGCACUGUAUUUGUCUCUGGCGGCGGGACAGCUAUGGAUUACAACUGUAGUUGUCUGUCAGUCAUAGUGUAAAAGCUAUGACCGUGGACAAACCGCCAAAAUCAUAACAACUUGUAAUUUUGUGAUUCUGUCUAAUGAAGUUAUUCGUAUAUAUAAUUAUACAAACAACUUUUGGCAACGGAUCUCUUGGCUCUC